UACGGAGGGUGCGAGCGUUGUCCGGAAUCAUUGGGCGUAAAGGGUGCGUAGGCGGUUGUUUAAGUCUGUCGUGAAAUCCCCGGGCUCAACCUGGGAAUGGCGAUGGAUACUGGGCAGCUAGAGUGUGUCAGAGGAUGGUGGAAUUCCCGGUGUAGCGGUGAAAUGCGUAGAGAUCGGGAGGAACAUCAGUGGCGAAGGCGGCCAUCUGGGACAACACUGACGCUGAAGCACGAAAGCGUGGGGAGCAAACAGG
rnacentral:rRNA from 1 species